GACGAACGCUGGCGGCGUGCUUAACACAUGCAAGUCGAACGGAAAGGCCCUGCUCUUGUGGGGUGCUCGAGUGGCGAACGGGGGAGUAACACGCGAGUAACCUGCCCUUGACUUUGGGAUAACAUUAGGAAACAGGGGCUAAUACCGGAUAUGAUCUCUUGCUGCACGGUGGGGGAUGGUGAGUGUCGGCGGUUGGGGAUGGACUCGCGGGUUAUCAGCUUGUUGGUGGGGUAGUGGCUUUCCAGGGCUUUGACGGGUAGCCGGCAUGGGAGCGUGACCGGCGUCAUUGCGCCUGCGGUACGGACCAGAAUGCUACGGGAGGCAGCGGUGGGGAAUAUUGCACAAUGGGCGGACGCGUGAUGCAGAAGCGCCGCGUGCGGAAUGCCGGCCUUCGGGUUGUGAACAGAUUUCGCAUGUGCCGAAGCGUGAGUGACGGUAAUGGGUCAGGAAGCCCCGGCUAACUACGUG
rnacentral:rRNA from 1 species